rnacentral:rRNA from 1 species
AUGACAAGUUCAAGUCAGUCUUCUUUGGAUGAUGAAGUGACAAACGAAUCAUCUACGAUUUUUCCUACUAAUGGCAUGCUCAUAUCAACUGAGGGCUUGGAGCGAGGAGAAAGCUCAAAAGGACGAAAGCGUGUAUGUGAAGCAAUAAGAUAUGCUAGCCGUACACCAGAACAAAUCCAAGCAAGGCGAGAACGUGUUAGAGCACGUCGGCAAAAUUUAACACCUGCUGAGAGGGAAAAGAUUAAUGCACAAAGAAGAGAGAAAAGACAACGAAUGGCACUUGAUGAGAGGAAUGCAAGCCAACGAGCACGUAGGCAAAGUUUGACAAUAGAUGAGAGGCAAGAAAUAAAUGCACGCCGGCGAGCACGUAGGCAAAGCCUACCACCUGAAGAGCGGCAAGCACUCCUAGCUCAACGUAAUGCAAGCUACGCAUCUAAACGAGAUGCCCUCUGCAGGGAUUCUGUUGCACUACAGUGCCCUACAGGUUCAUUGAUGGGACAUCCAUCAUCAAGUUCUUAUGUCUUUAGCCACCCAGGAGAUGAUGAUACUAUCCAGCACAUGGAACUCACAUCAGUGCAAUGUCCAACAUCUACUUCAGUGGACAAUCCAUCAUCACCCCAUGAUGGUUUCGUAUAUUCAGAUUCCCCAAUAGAAAGCUUUGUCGCCGAUGAUGAUGAUUCUCACAUGUCUGAAGAACAAGACGAUGAGUACUUCACAUUUGCUGGGAGAGGUGACGAUGAAGACUUGGUAGAUGCCUUUACAACAGACACCAUUGUCCCUGACCUAUAUGAUCGUGUCUACCACAAUACCAGUAAGUACUCACAUGUUGACACCAAAACCUGA